rnacentral:rRNA from 1 species
AUUGAACGCUGGCGGCAGGCCUAACACAUGCAAGUCGAGCGAGCGGCGGACGGGUGAGUAAUGUCUGGGAAACUGCCUGAUGGAGGGGGAUAACUACUGGAAACGGUAGCUAAUACCGCAUACCAUCAGAUGUGCCCAGAUGGGAUUAGCUAGUAGGUGGGGUAACGGCUCACCUAGGCGACGCUCCCUAGCUGGUCUGAGAGGAUGACCAGCCAAACUGGAACUGAGACACGGGCCAAAAUCCUACGGGAGGCAGCAGUGGGGAAUAGUGCACAAUGGGCGAAAGACUGAAUCAGCCAAGCCGCGUGGGUGAAGAAGGCCGUCGGGUUGUAAAGCACUUUCAGCGGGGAAGCGGUUCCCGCAGAAGAAGCACCGGCUAACUCCGUGCCAGCAGCCGCGGUAAUUC